rnacentral:rRNA from 1 species
GCUCAGAGCGAACGCUGGCGGCAGGCUUAACACAUGCAAGUCGAGCGCCCCGCAAGGGGAGCGGCAGACGGGUGAGUAACACGUGGGGAUCUGCCCAAUGGUACGGAAUAACUCAGGGAAACUUGUGCUAAUACCGUAUGUGCCCGCAAGGGGAAAGAUUUAUCGCCAUUGGAUGAACCCGCGUCGGAUUAGCUAGUUGGUGUGGUAAAGGCGCACCAAGGCGACGAUCCGUAGCUGGUCUGAGAGGAUGAUCAGCCACWCUGGGACUGAGACWCGGCCCAGACUCCUACGGGAGGCAGCWGUGGGGAAUAUUGGACWAUGGGCGCWAGCYUGAUCCAGCCWUGCCGCGUGAGUGAUGAAGGCCUUAGGGUUGUAAAGCUCUUUCGCCGACGAAGAUAAU